GAUGAACGCUAGCUACAGGCUUAACACAUGCAAGUCGAGGGGCAUCAGGAAGAAAGCUUGCUUUCUUUGCUGGCGACCGGCGCACGGGUGAGUAACACGUAUCCAACCUGCCCUUUACUCGGGGAUAGCCUUUCGAAAGAAAGAUUAAUACCCGAUGGCAUAAUGAUUCCGCAUGGUUUCAUUAUUAAAGGAUUCCGGUAAAGGAUGGGGAUGCGUUCCAUUAGGUUGUUGGUGAGGUAACGGCUCACCAAGCCUUCGAUGGAUAGGGGUUCUGAGAGGAAGGUCCCCCACAUUGGAACUGAGACACGGUCCAAACUCCUACGGGAGGCAGCAGUGAGGAAUAUUGGUCAAUGGGCGCUAGCCUGAACCAGCCAAGUAGCGUGAAGGAUGACCGCCCUAUGGGUUGUAAACUUCUUUUAUAAAGGAAUAAAGUCGGGUAUGGAUACCCGUUUGCAUGUACUUUAUGAAUAAGGAUCGGCUAACUCCGUGCCAGCAGCCGCGGUAAUACGGAGGAUCCGAGCGUUAUCCGGAUUUAUUGGGUUUAAAGGGAGCGUAGAUGGAUGUUUAAGUCAGUUGUGAAAGUUUGCGGCUCAACCGUAAAAUUGCAGUUGAUACUGGAUAUCUUGAGUGCAGUUGAGGCAGGCGGAAUUCGUGGUGUAGCGGUGAAAUGCUUAGAUAUCACGAAGAACUCCGAUUGCGAAGGCAGCUCACUGGACUGCAACUGACACUGAUGCUCGAAAGUGUGGGUAUCAAACAGG
rnacentral:rRNA from 1 species